rnacentral:rRNA from 1 species
UACGUAGGGCGCAAGCGUGUCCGGAAUUAUUGGGCGUAAAGAGCUCGUAGGCGGUUUGUCACGUCGGCUGUGAAAACCCGAGGCUCAACCUCGGGCCUGCAGUCGAUACGGGCAGACUAGAGUGCUGUAGGGGAGACUGGAAUUCCUGGUGUAGCGGUGAAAUGCGCAGAUAUCAGGAGGAACACCGGUGGCGAAGGCGGGUCUCUGGGCAGUAACUGACGCUGGAGGAGCGAAAGCGUGGGGAGCAAACAGG